UUGGUCCUGAUUCAAGGCCAGCAGUUUGCUGAAGCUGUUGGUUUCAAGCAGGAGACUAAAUAAUUGUCUUUUCAUGGUCUGUUGGACAUCUUAUAACUUUGGAAAUGUAAUGUCCAAUUCAUUAGAAAUAAACAUCU
ensembl:snoRNA